rnacentral:tRNA from 1 species
GCCUUUGUGGUGUAGUGGUCAGCACGCUCGGCGCGUAUUCGAGAGGUCCGUGGUUCGAGUCCCGGAGAGGGCA